rnacentral:rRNA from 1 species
CUUUAGUUUGAAACCCCGAAACCAGGUGAGCUACCCCGAGACAGCCUAAGUAAUUUAGGGCUAACCCGUCUCUGUGGCAAAAGAGUGGGAAGAGCUCCGGGUAGAAGUGACAGACCUACCGAACCUGGUGAUAGCUGGUUGCCUGAGAAAUGGAUAGAAGUUCAGCCCCGUGUGCCCCGUACCAAAAACAUCAUUUUAAGAUUUAGGGAAACUUAUGGGAGUUAGUUAAAGGGGGUACAGCCCCUCUAACAAAGGAUACAACCUUUACAGGAGGAUAAAGAUCAUAAUAUUUAAAACACACUGUUCUAGUGGGCCUAAAAGCAGCCACCUAAACAGAAAGCGUUAAAGCUCAGACAGAAAGAAGUUUAUUAUAAUGAUAAAAAAUCUUAUUCCCCUAAUAGUAUCAGGCUAUUCCAUGCUCACAUGGAAGAGAUUAUGCUAAAAUGAGUAACAAGAAGACUUGAUCUUCUCCAAGCACAAGUGUACACCAGAUCGGACCAACCACUGGAAAUUAACGAACCCAAACAAAGAGAGUAUUGUGAAUUAUAUAAAAACCAGGAAGACCCCACAAUUAAAUAAUCGUUAACCCCACACUGGAGUGCUAUAAAUUAAGGAAAGACUAAAAGAAAGGGAAGGAACUCGGCAAACAUAAGCCUCGCCUGUUUACCAAAAACAUCGCCUCCUGCAAACAAAUUAAGUAUAGGAGGUCCAGCCUGCCCAGUGACUACGGGUUCAACGGCCGCGGUAUUUUGACCGUGCAAAGGUAGCGCAAUCACUUGUCUUUUAAAUAGAGACCUGUAUGAAUGGCUAAACGAGGGCUUAACUGUCUCCCCCUUCCAGUCAGUGAAAUUGAUCUAUCCGUGCAGAAGCGGGUAUAAUUAUACAAGACGAGAAGACCCUUUGGAGCUUAAGGUACAAAAUUCAACCACGUUAAACAACUAAACAAAGAGGGGGAACUUAGUGGGACCUGAAAUUUUACCUUCGGUUGGGGCGACCGCGGAGGAAAAAUCAGCCUCCGAGUGGAAUGGGCCAAAACCCUAAAACCAAGAGAAACAUCUCUAAGCCGCAGAACAUCUGACCAUUAAUGAUCCGGCCAAACAGCCGAUCAACGAACCAAGUUACCCUAGGGAUAACAGCGCAAUCCUCUCCCAGAGUCCAUAUCGACGAGGGGGUUUACGACCUCGAUGUUGGAUCAGGACAUCCUAAUGGUGCAGCCG